rnacentral:rRNA from 1 species
CCUACGGGAGGCAGCAGUCGAGAAUUAUUCACAAUGGGGGAAACCCUGAUGGUGCGACGCCGCGUGGGGGAAUGAAGGUCUUCGGAUUGUAAACCCCUGUCAUGUGGGAGCAAAUUAAAAAGAUAGUACCACAAGAGGAAGAGACGGCUAACUCUGUGCCAGCAGCCGCGGUAAUACAGAGGUCUCAAGCGUUGUUCGGAAUCACUGGGCGUAAAGCGUGCGUAGGCUGUUUCGUAAGUCGUGUGUGAAAGGUGCGGGCUCAACCCGCGGACGGCACAUGAUACUGCGAGACUAGAGUAAUGGAGGGGGAACCGGAAUUCUCGGUGUAGCAGUGAAAUGCGUAGAUAUCGAGAGGAACACUCGUGGCGAAGGCGGGUUCCUGGACAUUAACUGACGCUGAGGCACGAAGGCCAGGGGAGCGAAAGGGAUUAGAUACCCGAGUAGUC